CAGCCUCGCAUUCCCCGGGGCAGGCCCCCGCCCGCGCGUCCCGCCAGUAGGGGAAUUUAGCGGACGGCUGCGGUUGUCUGGUGAAAGGCUAUCCAAGGAUAAGGGGCUUCACUUUUCCCAAGUAGGGGAAAGAGAAGGGGUCUACAGGGCUAGGGGUGGAGGGAGCGGAUGCAGUGAGCAGCCUCCGCAGAGAAAUUGACAAUUUAACCAGGGACCUGCGGCAGAGACAAGGCGGAGACACUCCCUUGCCCAGGAAAGCCGCCAGAGUCCGGCUUGUACCUGGGGAAGAAUCCUUAAGACGGUCUGGCCCAACACUCCUUUGCUCACAGAGAAAGGGGAGAAGACUCCCGAGGGUGAAAAUGGUACAUUCGGAGCUGGAACUCAGCUCGCUGACCCCAAGCAGUGUUCCCUUCUUUUCGCCAGGUUUGCAUCCAAGAGAGGGGAGGACAGGGGCAAAAGGAUGCAGGGAGGCUGCUGAUUUCCACUGAAGAGCUAAUUUCCUGUGAGACAUUAACAGUGAUUUAAGAAAAAGAUUCCUGUAACUGUAAUGUCUUACAAUAACAGAAUGCAGGAGAGCACAUAUCAAUGAAGAAAAGACAAAAUGUACUUAUCCAUGAAGCUGAGGUUAAGAAACCAGUGUCUUCAAGAGCCAGGGACAGCACUGGGUCUGUGCAGAGUUGAGAGAUGGUGAUGACAUGUGGUUUCCAGCAUUCCUCACCCAGUCCAGGGACACUGUGGGUGUGCCCAGCUUAAGUCCAGUAACUGGAAAUACAAGCCCAAGUUCUGGAGAGUUUGAGCUGCAGAGAUAUAUAUGGGAACACUUUGAAUCUUGACUCAUUGGCCAUAACCAGCAGAGUGGAAAAUACAAGAAGAGAAAAAAACAUUGAACUGCGAUUUUAUAACAUCCUUUACUAGGCAGAGAGAAGAGGAAACACCAGGAAAGAAAACUGUAUUACGAUGUGAAAACUUAAUGUUGAGAAAUUCAGGCAUCUUGGGGUUAGUGAGGAGAAGUUUUAGGGGCUUAGAUUCUUCUAAACACAUGUACAGAAAUGCAUAUUUCAUCUGAUAUCAAAUGGCAUUUAUAGUGCUAAUCUUUACCUCAAGACUUCACAUCUUUUGGUGAUUGCAUCUUUUAGGUUUAUAGCAGCUAAGUUUGCAUGAAAACACCAGGGCUGUUUCAUUUCAGUCAAGAAUUAAUGUUCAUUGAUUGUGCUUCUGCAUUUCAUGUAACUAUUGUAGAAUUUGUUUUAGUUUUAUGAGGGAAUAAUUGUUCCAACUUCUAUAUAACUCAGGAAUUUACUCUCAAACAACACUGUCAAUUAGUUACUUAUCUCUCUGGAAAUGAUCUGGGAACAUGGAGAGGAAAGGGAGGAAGGGGCAAAAUCUGACCACUUAAAUCUAAGCAUAUUAGAUCAUUUUAUGCUAGAAAGUCCUGAAUGAUGUGACUUUCGUUCUUGUAAAACACCUCUUUCCAUAGAUUCAUGGCCCAAACAGUAUAUAAAGAGUGGGGAAGGAACUGCAUUUGCAAAUAGUUCAAAUCAUUGCUCCAUCUUAACUACGCAGUUCACAAAGUGUGAAGAAAUGUGAUCAUCUCAAAAAAGAUAAUGGGGAAAAAAUAUGUUUUGUUCUGUGACUUUAAAGUCUUGCAAUAUUUUACAUAAAUGAUAAUGGGUGCUUUAAUAAGAACUCUUGAUACUUUUGUUAUUGUAUUCAAUAUAUGCAUAUAAUACAACAGGAUGAUAUUGUUUUGGAUUUGGAAAUGUAUUCUUUCUUAUGCAAUCUUAUGCAGUCAUACUGCUUGAAUAUCAUUACCUGAAUUUAUCUUUCUUUUUUUUGUUGUUGUUUUACACUCUACUUAUUUGGUGCCUGUCAGUCUUUUGUCGUCAGUUUAUAUUCUACUAAACUCAAAAAGACAAUCUCAUACCUUUUGUAAUUGUAGGCAUUCUUUACUAGAUUUUUAAAUACACUUCAAAAAUUCAAGUACUUUGAUUUCAUGCCAUCAAGUAGCUGAAUCUAUCCCCCCGUCUCUUUUUAAAUUUAAGUGAGUAGUUCAAUUUCUGUCACUUUCUACUUUGUGAAUUCUAAAUCUUUUAAAACCAUCUUGCCAUUUUUCGUGCACUUACCCUUACAGAAAACUCUGUGAAACACUACUUAUCUCUACUUUUAUGUUUUUAACUCCUUUUUUAUAUUACUAUUCCCUCUGCUUUCUAAAUGCACAUAUUAAUUUGUUCUUUUUAUUCUCUGUAGCUCUUCUCAGUGUAUGAAUUCAGUUUCCCAUCAGUCUCCAUACAAUUAAAAAAAAGUUGAGUAUUCUGUUAUUUUAAUAAGAUAUCUAGUGCCCAUAUUCUAAUUCUGCCCCUUAUUUUUAAUAUAAUUUUAUUGUUGAUUUAAAAUGACAACAGUUUCAAUUCCCAGAAAGUGAAAGGAAACAAAGGAAUAAUAUUAUAGGCUUAAUUUUUAUCAGUGAACUUGUAGGUGAAGAAAAGAUUUGGGGAAGGAAAUGAACAUAUUAUAUUGCAAAAUAGUAAGGAACAAUCAGAUGUGUUUUCUAGUCUCUGGAAAAGCAUGUUUCAAGAAAUUCAAUGAAAAGUUCAUCAUGCUUGCUUAGAUUGUUGAGAAGCAAAAACACUGAUGAACAUUUGGAAGCAAUGAGAAUGUAAUUCUAAUCAUACUCUUUUAAUAAUGUUGCAAAACUCUCCAAACACUACUCUGUGUGGAUGUCUUUCAGAAUAUGAUGAAUACUAGUAGUCUUAUUCUGCCCUUUUCUCUCUAUCACAAUAUAUACAUUCUAUAUUGCAUACACAUAUUUUCCAAAUAUUACAUAUAAUUUCAUGUAAUUUAUAGACCUAUUAAGGCCCAACCAUUUUCUUGGAUAGGGGAUUCUUUAGAAGUCCAGCUUAAAUAAAGCCCGUAUAGAAAGUUUUUUUAAAAUUUAUACAUAAUCACCUAAAGUAACCUUAUCUACUGAACUCUUAGUACAUGCUACUGGAACCUUUUAUCAUGUUUCUUCCUGGCUUGCAUUACAACACUGUUGACAUAUCUCAGCCUUACUUCUAGGCUUCUUUGAGAGCAUGACUCAUGUUUGUAUUCCUCACUGAGGUUGAAUGAAUAAGAGAAACUACAGUAGUAGGAAAAAACAGUACAUGUACAUAUCAAUGAAUAUGAAAGGGUCAAAUGGAUCUAUUAUAGUAAGCACAAAAUCAACUGACACCAGCAAAGUAAACCCAAAAUUUUUAAUGGUAUUUUAAUAGAUCAAGAGGAGCAAGCAGAUUUUUGAGACAGUUGUCUCCUACUUUCUCUAUCACAGGGAGUAAUUUUAAAAGAAAAAUGGAGGGUAAGUUUCUUUAAGAGAAAAUUGUAGUUUAAAACAGGUCAUGGGAUAAUUAGAAAUAAUUUAAUUUCUUUAGAGGAUUUUAAUCUUUCAACUGCUUGCAAUUAGAUCCUAAGGCAAUAAAAGAAUAAGGAGAUUUGGAAAACCAUUGUCUGUAAUCUCUGAAGAAAAGUGGACAUUAGGGGAGUCAGUUGAAAAGCAAAGCUAUCACCAUUUUCUAAAGAGGAAAAAGGUGAACCUCACAAACUAUAGACCAAAAAAAUAGGACAUCGAGAGAAAGAAUAUGAAGCUAGCAUAGGUUCACAAAGAAUGAGUCAAAUCAAACAACAUGCAUUUUUUAUUUAUAAAGCAUGACUUGUUCAUUGUCAAUUCAUGUUAGCUUAAUCAUUAGGCAUUAAUGCCAUCACUGCAAUGCAUAUGUCAGCAAUAAAUAAUCAAAGACCAGGCUUCCAUCAUUCUGUUUAAUAUCUUCAAGUAAUGCUUAAGUUUGCAAAUGCUCUUUUAACACAUUCUCCAUAUGCAGCCUGCCCAGCACUGCACACAAUAGACCUGUUACUUCCCCCUCACGAGCACUCCUAAUAUUUCAUGUGCUCAUCCAAUUGACUUCUCCCACUGGUGCCUCAUAUUGAAUUUGUAGAAUCACACCUGCUCCUUUUUCAAAACUCUUCUGAGUUUUUUCUUAAAUAAUUCACUGACCCCAAAGUUGUCAGAUAUUUGAAGACUACUCGCACAAUUUUAAUAUUAUAAAUGUAUAAUGUAAAUGUAAUUAAGAUUUGUAUAAUGUACGAUGUACUUUGGUAAAUAAAAGUAUGCUGUGAAUAAAUACGUAUGAUACAAUUCAAAAUUUUACAUAAAUAUGUGAUAAAAUUUAGCUCAUAUUCUUUUUUUUUUUCUUUGAGACGGAGUCUCACUCUGUUGCACCCAGGCUAGAGUGCAGCAGCAUGAUCUCAGCUCACUGCAACCUCUACCUCCUGGGUUCAAACAAUUCUCCUGCCUCAGCCUCCUGAGUAGCUGGGAUUACAGGUGCCCGCCACCAUGCCCAGCUAAUUUUUUUCUAUUUUUGUUGUUGUUGUUGUUUUUAGUAGAGACGGGGUUUCACCAUGUUGGUCAGGCUGGUCUUGAACUCCUGACCUCAGAUAAUCCACCUGCCUCGGCCUCCCAAAGUUCUGGGAUUACAGACGUGAACCACGGUGCCCGGCCUAGUUCAUGUUCUUUAAGGACAAUUAUGAAUAUUUUUAUGCACUGUUAAUUUUCAUUAAGAUAUUGAUCAAUUAAUAGCUAUAUAUGUUCUAUAAAUUAAUCCUAUCUAGUUUCAAUCUUAAAUUGUUUGCAUAUACCAAUCUAGUUUAUUGUUUGCAUAUAUUUUAUAGUGUAGAGAUUAGGCAUUUUAAUAAAAUUUUAAAAUUUCCAGGACAUACUGUUAAUGACUAUGCUUCCUACUAUAGGCCAUAAUUAAUUUUUUUCUAUUGUCAACAAUAUUUUGGUAGGGAUGAUCAGGAAAUAAGGAAAUGUUUCCUUCAUUUGUUAACAAUAGGUGUUUGGGGAUUUUAAAAUGAAAAUUGAAGAAGUAAAAGACACCAUAUAUUUAGUUUGUUUGAUUUCGUGGCUUCAAGAGUUCAAUAAUUUAUUGAAAUAUUUUACAGACCAAAGAACAACAGAUAUAUUACGUUUAUAAGCCCCCACAUAUUUUAAAGGAUAAUGGUUUAUAUAUGAAAAUUCCCUGAACCUACACUUCAUCAGGAAAAGCUAAAUAAAAGAAGUUUACAUUUCCUAGGACUAAUGGAGAUUUAUUUCCCAGUCCUCUUCUCUGGAGACAAAUGUAGGUCUCUCUUGAAAAGCAGAAAGUUUUGCAUAUGAGGUAUGAUUUAGUGGGCUAGAAACAUCUUUUCCACCCUCCCCAAAAUGUUUCACUAUGUUUUAUCAUACUAUCUGAUAAUUUUGCACUAAAGUUUUCUUUCUGUGUUAAGAAAAUGCAAAUAUCUCUGAAUGGGUCUCUUUGCUUUAGUCAUACUCAUAUGGCUACUACUGAACAAAAUAUGUUCAUUACAGGAUGAAGGGAAUGUUGCCAGCCAGCAAAUCCCUAGAGUUUGCACUACACCAAACGUUGCUUAGCAAUUUCCACGAUUUUCUCAGUCUAAUUUGCAAGAAUCAAGGAGAUGUUUGUGUAUGCUACAUGAAGUUGUAAAAUUGGUAUUUAUUGUAUGUUUCUAUAUCGAAAGCUUUACAAACAAAGGAAAUGGAAAGUUAACAGGUGGAUAUGAUAGUGUGGCACUACUUUAGCUGGAUGGUAAGGGAGAGCUUCUCUUAGGAAGUGUUUUAGGCCAGGACUUGAAUAAUGAACAGUAUCUAGUUGUACAAAAAUCUGGAGGAAAGACUUUUCAGGCCCAGGAGAAAUGAAAAUUCUUUUCAUGCAUACAAGAAUGAAAGUGAAAAUUACCUACUCUAUGUCCUGAAGUGGGAAGUUGGCUUGCCAGAGAGUAGGUAAUUUUCACUUUGAUUCUUUCAUGCCUUCAGUUAUACUACUUCUUAGGUUAGUUCAUAAGGGUUUCCACAAUUUGGUUCCCACUUAAAAUUUAAAACUUCCCUAACCCAUUCCCACCAUAUAUUGUGCUAAUCCAUGCAUAUGUGACUUUGCGUAUGCUGUUUUCAUUGUUUAAUAUUCUUCUCAUGCAUUCGUUCUUUCCUGAUAACGAACUCAUCUUUGAAACUCCCCUUCAAGCAUCCUCUACUUUAGGAGGCCGCUUCUCACUGUCUCCUGCCUACCACCCAUUGAAUUGUUCAAUUUUUAAGCUGCCAUUGUCUUGUGCAGUUGACACAUUUCUUUGCAAUUACUGAUUUACAUGUCUGCUUUUAUCACUGGUGAGGUUCUUUAGGACAGAGACAUUAUUAAUUCAUCUCUGGGCACAUAUGUUCCAACAUAUUAGAAGUACUACAGAGUGCUAUUACUAUGUAGUAUGUAGUAUUAGUAGUAGUUACUCACAAAUCAUUUUUAAAUAAGUGAUUAUAAUAUCUUUUUGUUAUUAUGAUUUAACACAAGAUGGAAUUUAUUUUCAGAAGUUUCCAUGAUAUAUUUGUUCUAUUUAAAAUCCAAUAGCCAUUAGAAUAUUACCAUUAUUUAAUGUAAAACAAUAAAAUAUUAAAUAUGAUCGUUCAUAUUUAAUGCAAACCGAACUCAUGGAAAUAUUGUGUAAAGAUCAAGUAAUUUUUGACAUACAAUUUUAAACUCAACUUUUCAUAUAGCAUACCUUAUGAUAUAUUUUCAGCCUACUUUUAAAUAUGUUGGCAUUGAAAGCCAGUUACUAAUUCGCUGAAUUCAUGAUUUCUUUUUAAGUUAUAGAAGUGGAAUUAUGUUUGAGAUAUUCAUUGCAUUACAUUUACCAGAACUUGAGUUCUUAACAUGGAACCUGAGAGUUUCUCCAAUUCUUAAGUCCCUGGGAGAAAUAGAUUAGCUGGAUGAGGAACUGAGAGGAAAAAUGGUCAGAGAUGUAGCAAGAGUUGGGAAGAAGGAACAAUGAUUUGCUUUCAAGGAGAUUUUUUCAUUGGUCUGUUUUCAGUGACAAACCCACUGCGAUAAUACAUGUAAAGUGAAAACAUUCAGGAAGUUCCCUUAGAAACCUCUUUUCUGGCAGUUCCUAAUUCUACAACAUUGUAUAAGUGAAAUACCAUAGUUACUGUCAUAGUAAAUUGAGCCAAGAGAAACAAGGGAGCAGGAGAAGAAAAGAAUUAAAGAGAGUUUUGUCUUUCAGUCUUCACUCUGUUUCUUCUUGCUUUUACCAGUCAUUCAGGUUUAUAUAAUUUCUUUAGAGAGGCUUCUACUAUGCAGGUCUUCCUUAAAGUCAUUGGUAUUACCUGGCAUGAUAUGUGAGCCUUUAAUAUCAGUCCCUUUAUCUCUUUAUUUUUAAAGUUUAUAUCAGUACAGAGUCCUGGAUUCUUAAUUAAUUUAAUAGGUUAGACUUUAUGCUAAUAUUCUUCAUUUUGAUGCUCAAAUUUUCCAAAAUUUGGCCAGCAGGGUUCCUUAAAGCUGGGUACCUUGCCCUUUCAACAUGUCCCUCUGAUUCUUUAUUUUUAUUUACUUAUUUAUUUAUUUAUUUAUUUAUUUAUUUAUUUAUUUAUUUAGAGACUGAGUCUUGCUCUGUCUCCCAGCCUGGAGUGCAAUGGCACAAUCUUGGCUCACUGCAACCUCUAUCUCCCAGGUUCAAGCAAUUCUCCUCCCUCAGCCUCCCGAGCAACUGGGACUACAGGCAUGUGCAACCAUGCCUGGCUAAUUUUUUUUGUAUUUUUAGUAGAGACAGGCUUUCACCAUGUUGGUCAGGCUGGCCUCGAUCUCCUGACCUCAAAUGAUCCAUCGCCUCGGCCUCCCAAAGUGCUGGGAUUACAGGCGUGAGCUGCCACACCCAGCCGUCCCUCUCAUUCUUUAAGUACUUCCAUGUUUUCUAAGGUACAAGAUGUUCCAUAUUAUUUUGUUAUUUGUCUUCCCCAGCUCUGAAAUCUGCCUUUCCUUCAAGGAGCCUUGGUUCUUUCUAGUGACAAAUUAUAUUUAGAAAGAAGAUCUGGGUAUUUGACUUGUAUAUUGCUAUUAAUUGGCCAUUGUUUCUAGUCUCUUUCAGUAGACAGAGCUAAGAAAUGUAAAAGGAAAUAUUUGAAUGUAUGUAUAUGUGAUAUAUUAAGUACAUUUAAACAUAUUAAAUUCAUGAGUUCAUACUAAUACUUUCAAUAAGCCACAAUUCCCUUUUCAUGUUUUCGAAGGAAAAAUAUCCAUUGUCUAUAUACAGUGGACAUAGAUAGUAAUAAUACUGAUCUUGAAAAGAGCAGUCUUAAAUAGAUCCCAUUAAUAGUUAAAGAUAACAUAUCUUAGAAUUCUAGAUAUUAGAGAGAUUAUCUAGAGCUGUAAUCUAGAUAUUUUAUAGAUCUUUGCUGUGCUGUUUUGAAUUUGUGUUGGAGUAGAACAAUCAGAUGACAAAAGCUCAUCCCACAUGGAAAAAUCAAAGCAUUCAUUACAGAGAGAAUUUUGAAAUAAAUGCAUAUAUAAAAAAUAUAUAUGCAUAUAUAAUGCAUAUGUAUAUGCAUAUAAAAUAUAUAUAUAUAAAAUGAGGGUUAUAAACAAUGAAGGAAAUAGUGAUACUAUCUAUGUGGGAACAAUACUAGUAUCCUCCCUUUGGAUGAAUACAGUAGCUACAGAUGCAAUUCUGGGGACUCUGUUUAGCAAUAGCUUAACUAUUGCUUGGCUACAAGCAUGGAUAACUUGUUCAAAGAUAAUGAGGAGUUGUAAAUAUUUAAAUAAACAGGAUUUGCAACAUAAAAAGCUUUGUGACUAUGUGUCUGAAUUCUUAGAGUUUUCUCCCAGCAAGACCUUGGAUGUGGCAGACUUUUCUGUAAUUGUCCAUCUCGCCCCUAUUUCAUGAAAAGCCAGAGCUUCUCUACUUAGUUUGCUAACCCCAAAUAUAUAAAUUCAAUAGAAGUACUAGCCUGUUUUUACUGGUUUAUUUGCUUUAUCUAAAAAAAACAAGGCAUAGUUUAAAGUCUGUUUUUGAUAGCAUAACAAAACAAAGGUUCUCAUUUUAAUAAUGCAUCACAUAUACACUUGGUAACUAUUGCAUAGUAAUAAUUUAAUAACUUGAGAAAUAUAUUUAUGCAUGUAUGUGUAUAUGUUCAUAUAUAUGUUAUUUUUAAUUCAGAAGUAAAACAAAUAUUGGAAGAGGCCACAGUUAUUAUAAAAAUAAUUUGACCAGUAUUGGACAAUGCAAAUAGCAAUCAUUUAGAAGUUUCU
rnacentral:lncRNA from 1 species